AGGGUUUGAUCAUGGCUCAGAACGAACGCUGGCGGCGCGCCUAAUACAUGCAAGUCGAGCGAGAAGGUGUAGCAAUACACUGGUACAGCGGCGAACGGGUGAGGAAUACAUGGGUAACCUACCCUCGAGUGGGGAAUAACUAGCCGAAAGGUUAGCUAAUACCGCAUACGAUUCCCGAAUUGCGGUUCGGGAAAGAAAGCCAUACCGUGGGUAUGGCGCUCCUGGAUGGGCUCAUGUCCUAUCAGCUUGUUGGUGAGGUAACGGCUCACCAAGGCUUCGACGGGUAGCUGGUCUGAGAGGACGAUCAGCCACACUGGCACUGCGACACGGGCCAGACUUCUACGGGAGGCAGCAGUAAGGAAUAUUGCGCAAUGGGCGACAGCCUGACGCAGCGACGCCGCGUGGGGGAUGAAGGUCUUCGGAUUGUAAACCCCUUUCGGGAGGGAAGAGGGAAUGGGGUAACCCAUUCGGACGGUACCUCCAGAAGCAGCCACGGCUAACUUCGUGCCAGCAGCCGCGGUAAUACGAAGGUGGCAAGCGUUGUUCGGAUUCACUGGGCGUACAGGGAGCGUAGGCGGUUGGGUAAGCCCUCCGUGAAAUCUCCGGGCCUAACCCGGAAAGUGCAGAGGGGACUGCUCGGCUUGAGGACGGGAGAGGAGCGCGGAAUUCCCGGUGUAGCGGUGAAAUGCGUAGAGAUCGGGAGGAAGGCCGGUGGCGAAGGCGGCGCUCUGGAACGUUUCUGACGCUGAGGCUCGAAAGUGUGGGGAGCAAACAGGAUUAGAUACCCUGGUAGUCCACGCCUUAAACUAUGGAUACUAAGUGUCGGCGGGUUACCGCCGGUGCCGCAGCUAACGCAUUAAGUAUCCCGCCUGGGAAGUACGGCCG
rnacentral:rRNA from 1 species